rnacentral:rRNA from 1 species
UCGAGAAUCUUCCGCAAUGGGCGAAAGCCUGACGGAGCGACACCGCGUGCAGGAUGAAGGCCUUCGGGUUGUAAACUGCUGUCACGCUUUAGGAAUGGCCUGAUGUUAAUAGCAUCAGGAGUGACCAAGGCGAAAGGAAGCACCGGCUAACUCUGUGCCAGCAGCCGCGGUAAGACAGAGGGUGCAAACGUUGUUCGGAAUUACUGGGCAUAAAGCGCACGUAGGUGGUCCACUAAGUCGAGUGUGAAAUCCCCCGGCUCAACCGGGGAAUUGCGCUCGAUACUGGUGGGCUAGAGGUCGGUAGGGGUGAGCGGAACUCCAGGUGGAGCGGUGAAAUGCGUAGAUAUCUGGAGGAACACCGGUGGCGAAAGCGGCUCACUGGAUCGAAUCUGACACUGAGGUGCGAAAGCUAGGGUAGCAAACGGGAUUAGAUACCCCCGUAGUCC